CGGCAGGCUUAACACAUGCAAGUCGAGGGGUAAGGUUCCGCUUGCGGAACACACGACCGGCGCACGGGUGAGUAUCGCGUUUGCAAUCUGCCUCUAACUGGGAGAUAGCCCGGAGAAAUUCGGAUUAAUAUCCCAUAAUGUCAUGAAUUCGCAUGUUUUCAUGAUUAAAGCUUAGGCGGUUAGAGAUGAGCAUGCGUGUCAUUAGCUUGUUGGUGAGGUAACGGCUCACCAAGGCAACGAUGACUAGGGGGUCUGAGAGGAUGAUCCCCCACACUGGUACUGAGACACGGACCAGACUCCUACGGGAGGCAGCAGUGAGGAAUAUUGGGCAAUGGGCGAAAGCCUGACCCAGCCAUGCCGCGUGCAGGAUGACGGCCCUACGGGUUGUAAACUGCUUUUAUAUUCCAAGAAUUCCAUCAACGUGUUGGUGGUUGACGGUAGAAUAAGAAUAAGCAUCGGCUAACUCCGUGCCAGCAGCCGCGGUAAUACGGAGGAUGCAAGCGUUAUCCGGAUUUAUUGGGUUUAAAGGGUGCGUAGGCGGGAUAAUAAGUCAGUGGUGAAAUCUUGCAGCUUAACUGUAAAACUGCCAUUGAUACUGUUAUCCUUGAGUAUAGUUGAGGUGGGCGGAAUGUAUAAUGUAGCGGUGAAAUGCUUAGAUAUUAUACAGAACGCCAAUUGCGUAGGCAGCUCACUAAACUAUCACUGACGCUGAGGCACGAAAGCGUGGGGAGCGAACAGGAUUAGAUACCCUGGUAGUCCACGCUGUAAACUAUGAUCACUCGUUGUUGGCAAUACAUCGUCAGCGACUGAGCGAAAGCAUUAAGUGAUCCACCUGGGGAGUACGAUCGCAAGGUUGAAACUCAAAGGAAUUGACGGGGGCCCGCACAAGCGGUGGAACAUGUGGUUUAAUUCGAUGAUACGCGAGGAACCUUACCUGGGCUUAAAUGCAGAACGACAUUCCGGGAAACCGGAACUUCUUCGGACGGACUGCAAGGUGCUGCAUGGUUGUCGUCAGCUCGUGCCGUGAGGUGUCGGGUUAAGUCCCAUAACGAGCGCGACCCCUAUUGUUAGUUGCCAGCGAGUAAUGUCGGGGACUCUAACGAAACUGCCGGUGUAAACCGUGAGGAAGGUGGGGAUGACGUCAAAUCAGCACGGCCCUUAUGUCCAGGGCUACACACGUGUUACAAUGGCUGGUACAAAGGGCAGCUACCUGGCAACAGGAUGCUAAUCUCGAAAACCAGUCUCAGUUCGGAUCGGAGUCUGCAACUCGACUUCGUGAAGCUGGAAUCGCUAGUAAUCGCGCAUCAGCCAUGGCGCGGUGAAUACGUUCCCGGGCCUUGUACACACCGCCCGUCAAGCCAUGAAGCCGGGGUACCUGAAGACC
rnacentral:rRNA from 1 species